CCGGCACGGGUGAGUAACGCGUAUGCAACUUACCUAUCAGAGGGGGAUAACCCGGCGAGAGUCGGACUAAUACCGCAUGAAGCAGGGGCCCCGCAUGGGGAUAUUUGCUAAAGAUUCAUCGCUGAUAGAUAGGCAUGCGUUCCAUUAGGCAGUUGGCGGGGUAACGGCCCACCAAACCGACGAUGGAUAGGGGUUCUGAGAGGAAGGUCCCCCACAUUGGUACUGAGACACGGACCAA
rnacentral:rRNA from 1 species